rnacentral:rRNA from 1 species
UGGGGAAUUGUUCGCAAUGGGCGCAAGCCUGACGACGCAACGCCGCGUGGAGGAUGAAGGUCUUCGGAUUGUAAACUCCUGUUGCUCGGGACGAAAAGCUUCGACCUAACACGUCGAGGUCUGACGGUACCGAGUGAGGAAGCCCCGGCUAACUCUGUGCAGCAGCCGCGGUAAUACAGAGGGGGCAAGCGUUGUUCGGAAUUACUGGGCGUAAAGGGCGCGUAGGCGGCCUGCUAAGUCGAACGUGAAAUCCCUGGGCUCAACCCAGGAACUGCGUCCGAUACUGGUUGGCUUGAAUCCGGGAGAGGGAUGUGGAAUUCCAGGUGUAGCGGUGAAAUGCGUAGAUAUCUGGAGGAACACCGGUGGCGAAGGCGACAUCCUGGACCGGUAUUGACGCUGAGGCGCGAAAGCCAGGGGAGCAAACGGGAUUAGAUACCCCGGUAGUCCUGGCCCUAAACGAUGAAUGCUUGGUGUGGUGGGUAUCGAUCCCUACCGUGCCGAAGCUAACGCAA